GUGGGGAAUAUUGGACAAUGGGCGAAAGCCUGAUCCAGCAAUGCCGCGUGAGUGAUGAAGGCCCUAGGGUUGUAAAGCUCUUUUACCCGGGAUGAUAAUGACAGUACCGGGAGAAUAAGCUCCGGCUAACUCCGUGCCAGCAGCCGCGGUAAUACGGAGGGAGCUAGCGUUGUUCGGAAUUACUGGGCGUAAAGCGCGCGUAGGCGGUUUUCCAAGUCAGGGGUGAAAGCCCGGGGCUCAACCCCGGAAUAGCCCUUGAAACUGGAAGACUAGAAUCUUGGAGAGGUCAGUGGAAUUCCGAGUGUAGAGGUGAAAUUCGUAGAUAUUCGGAAGAACACCAGUGGCGAAGGCGACUGACUGGACAAGUAUUGACGCUGAGGUGCGAAAGCGUGGGGAGCAAACAGGAUUAGAAACCCUGGUAGUCC
rnacentral:rRNA from 1 species